GAUGAACGCUGGCGGCGUGCCUAAUACAUGCAAGUCGAGCGAACGGACGAGAAGCUUGCUUCUCUGAUGUUAGCGGCGGACGGGUGAGUAACACGUGGAUAACCGACCUAUAAGACUGGGAUAACUUCGGGAAACCGUAGCUAAUACCGGAUAAUAUUUUGAACCUCAUGGUUCAAAAGUGAACGCCGGUCUUGCUGUCACUUAUACAUGGUUCCGCGCUGCAUUAGCUAGUUGGUAAGGUAACGGCUUACCAAGGCAACGAUGCAUAGCCGACCUGAGAGGGUGAUCGGCCACACUGGAACUGAGACACGGUCCAGACUCCUACGGGAGGCAGCAGUAGGGAAUCUUCGGCAAUGGGCGAAAGCCUGACGGAGCAACGCCGCGUGAGUGAUGAAGGUCUUCGGAUCGUAAAACUCUGUUAUUAGGGAAGAACAUAUGUGUAAGUAACUGUGCACAUCUUGACGGUACCUAAUCAGAAAGCCACGGCUAACUACGUG
rnacentral:rRNA from 1 species